rnacentral:tRNA from 1 species
GGAGAGAUGGUCGAGUGGUUUAAGGCGCACGCUUGGAAAGCGUGUAAAGGGGCAACUCUUUCGCGGGUUCGAAUCCCGCUCUCUCCGCCA